rnacentral:rRNA from 1 species
UACGAAGGGGGCUAGCGUUGUUCGGAAUCACUGGGCGUAAAGGGCGCGUAGGCGGCUUUAUAAGUCGGGGGUGAAAGCCUGUGGCUCAACCACAGAAUUGCCUUCGAUACUGUAGAGCUUGAGACCGGAAGAGGUAAGUGGAACUGCGAGUGUAGAGGUGAAAUUCGUAGAUAUUCGCAAGAACACCAGUGGCGAAGGCGGCUUACUGGUCCCGGUUCUGACGCUGAGGCGCGAAAGCGUGGGGAGCAACAGG